rnacentral:rRNA from 1 species
GAUGAACGCUGGCGGCGUGCCUAAUACAUGCAAGUCGAGCGAACAGACGAGUAGCUUGCUCCUCUGACGUUAGCGGCGGACGGGUGAGUAACACGUUGAUAACCUACCUAUAAGACUUGGAUAACUUCGGGAAACCGGAGCUAAUACCGGAUAAUAUAUUGAACCGCAUGGUUCAAUAGUUAACGACGGUUUUGCUGUCACUUAUAGAUGGAUCCGCGCCGCAUUAGCUAGUUGGUAAGGUAACGGCUUACCAAGGCGACGAUGCGUAGCCGACCUGAGAGGGUGAUAGGCCACACGGGAACUGAGACACGGUCCAGACUCCUACGGGAGGCAGCAGUAGGGAAUCUUCCGCAAUGGGCGAAAGCCUGACGGAGCAACGCCGCGUGAGUGAUGAAGGUCUUCGGAUCGUAAAACUCUGUUAUUAGGGAAGAACAAAUGUGUAAGUAACUAUGCACGUCUUGACGGUACCUAAUCAGAAAGCCACGGCUAACUACGUG